rnacentral:rRNA from 1 species
GGAGGGGAAAGGAAGGUCGGCUAGGUCUCCUGGGAUACAAUGACAAAGCCAAAAUUUCUUGGAGGCUUGGGUUUCAGAGAUAUCGAACUUUGUAACCUUGCUCUGCUAGCUCGACAAGCAUGGCGUAUUCUGGAGGAUCGAACUUCUCCCAGUGCACGUAUCCUCAAGGCAAAGUAAUUUCCUUACAAUGAUUUUAUGGAGGCCGAGAUAGGUAAUUCGCCAUCCCAAAUUUGGAGGGCAGUGUUAGAGGAGAAAGAAAUUCUGUCACAAGGGUUGAUCCGAAGAGUGGGCAAUGGUCAAACUAUUAACAUAAGGAGGGACAAUUGGAUCCCUAGGGAUUACAAUAUGCGACCUCUUACCCGCAUUGCCAAUGAUCACUAG